CACGUCAUGUCUGUAUUAAAGGCUGAGCACAGAGGUAUGCAGCCCAUGUGUGGAACAGGAUUUCAUGAUGCUGCUAACAACUCCAUCACAUGGAAAUUAGCCCGCUGCAUCAUUAAUAAUCUUGUGGUUUCAAAUACUGCAUUGCGAGGGCUGAUAAACUCUGUGUACAUUAAAAAUUGCCACAAAAAGCUCUUAGAAGUCUCAGCAGUCAAAUUCUCUCACGUUUCAGGGGGUUGGGACUAGAUCUAUAAUCAUCGUUGUUUGUUAGCAGUGGAGGCACAUUCACGGUUUUAAUGAAACACAGACAUCCUUUGUUGAACUUUAGAUGCACUCAGAAGGGAUGCAGCAUUUCCAUGCACAGAGCUGCACGUGCACAAACACCAUGCAGGGCUGAUCGGGGGAGCCUGGCUGAGCCCGACUGAGCGUAAGACUAACACGUCAGGCAGGUGAGGGAAAGCCUCAACACGCAGACCUCAUUCUACCACCAUCCUCUCCACCCAGAACCCUCAUACACACACGCACACACACACACUCUAAUGUCCUUGAUAUUUAAUAUAACAAUGAAAUGGAAAAGAAGCAAUUAAAACCACACCUAUGCAGGGUGAGCUCUAAUGCCCAUCUUCACCUUUCUGUGUGUGUAAACCUUUGUCUUCUCCUCCUACUCCCAUCUUUGAAAGGACGCAGCGUUUGAAGAGGUUAUUUGCUUUUCCAUGCUUGUGUCAGAUCCCAGUCUGAAAUGACUGUGUAGAACAUGCUCAGGUCUGCCGACCUCUACUUCUGUCCCUGAUUUAUCUGUAUAGGAUGUUUAUGAUGGGCCUACAUAAAGCAGGCUGAAUGAUGCAUGAAUAUGAUCUCAGCAUCACUCCUUUUCAUCCUCAAGGAAACACUCUCACUGCAGCUCAAAAACCUUUUUGCAGCCUGACAUCCAUUCAGGGAGUAUUUGUGUUCAGCCUUCUUCAGUGAAAAGUCCCAGAAGAGACCCACGCUUCGUUCAUUACUGCUAAUAAUGAGGCAGACAGUGCAUUCUAUCCACAAAUGAAGUUUGUUUAGUCAAUUUAAAUGGAAAAUAGUUUGGAACUCACUGCAGGUUAUGAAUGCAGACGCCAGAGAGUAUUCCAGAGCACAUUUUAACUUAAAAUGGGAAAUUGCUCAACACAUGUAGGGAUUAAGGUAACAGCACUAAACUGGCCUGGAUUAUAAUUGACAUAAUUUGUGAUUGAGUACCACAGGACUCAGUGCUUGGGCAAAUUUUCUUUUGUACAUAUAUUCUUCCCUUUGGAUAAUUCCUUAUAAAAAGGGAUUUUUUUUUUAUUUAUGGUGUGAAUUUUACUUUUGUAUUUUCUUGCUGUGGGACAGAAACUUUGCAUCUUGAAAAAUAUAACUUAAGAAAAUUAUACAUAUCUAACUACUUUAAUGUAAAUUUACACUGCAGUAAUAUGUUCUUAAAGACACUUCUACUAAACACACAGAAUGAUGUGAAGGUCGAUGAAAGCAGUUGAUUAUCAAAAAAACACAAAUGUGACAAACUAUUUUGACAUUUUUUAAAAUAAUAUUGUAUAUUUCAGUAGUUGUUUUUAUUAUUGUACACUAUCAAAAGUUCAUCUAGGAACAAGCAUUGCAAAUCAGCUUAAACUUCAAAUGCUGAAAUCUUCUGUGUCUGUUGACACCAAAUAUCAGCAGGUCCAAUUCAUAUCCACAUAUAAACAAUUAGAUCAAUACCACAGAAUCUGAUUACAUAGUCCAAUUCAAUUACAUACAUUUAAGUUUGAUCUUACUUAUAAUAUUACCCAUGGAGGUAAUUAAGAAAAUUACAUUUGUGUGCGUAAAAAAACAGAUCCAACAAUGAAGCCUAACAUUCAAAAAUUACAAAAAUUUAAUCCCACCAGCAUAAACACAUAAUUUUAUCUUUGAUUAAUAUUUAAUCCAAAGAAUUACAUAUUUAUAAAAAUUUAUAUAAAGUAGAGAACUUAGUUUUCUAAAAAUAUAUAUACAGUUUAUGUCCUGCAAGGGUGAACAACAUGGAUAUAAGACAUACAUUUGGUCACAAACAUGAACUCUGUUAUUUUUUUGUAAAUGGAAACAUUUCUGCAUACAAUGUGUUCUGAAUAAUUUGUGUUCGAAACAACAUGCAUUACUGCAAAGGACCACCUUUAUCUAAUUCACAGGGCAGAAAUGUUCACAGUGCAGUUUCUCUGUGAUACUCUCUACUGUAUGGGCAUCUCUCUCUACCACAGACAUGUGAUGACCAUGACUGCCAGACUCCACAAAGUUGCUGGUUCCCAGGGGCCCUUAGAGCGCCAGCUUCUCCUGUUCCAGUCUGGCACACAGCGUUCAUGUCCUGUGUAAUUGCAGACCUCAGUCUACGCAGGAGACCUACUACCUCUGUUAGAAUAGCUUGUUUUUUGUUUUUGUUUUUGUGUUUUUAAGUAAGGCCUAUAUCAACUCCUGCAGUCAGUCAGUGUUUCCCACAACCCCCAGCAUGGCGAGACUGGUGCCUCCCAUUCCCUCUGGAGCUCCUGAUUGGAUAAAGAGGAAAUGACAUGAAAGUUACCAGUAUGAAACCUACAAAUAGAUCAGUUGUAGUCCAAAAAUGAGCUACAGUACCCUCAUAAGUCAGAAUAGUUGACACAUGCACAUAUGUUAUGUACAGAAAUACACAUUAUUCUUUUCUCAUACCCCCAACCAAGCCUGGGGCCCAUGCUUGGUCACACACCUUGAGCAUGAAAUGGGAGCCCUGUCUGGGAACAGUUAACCAGCCUGCUGCCUGGUGAAAAUGGAAAAAGCGUGGUCCUUGUUAGCGCUGAUGACGCUAACGCCCCUGUCAUCCCUGAGGAGCACACUCCUCUGCUGCUGCUGCCAGGAGGCAGGGAAACAUAACUAGGUUUGAGGUCAAUGAUUGGAGCUAAUUUGCUGAUUUCUUUCAUUAUUUUAACUACUAGUUGCUAAUUUCUACCUAGGUUUUCAUUUCUUACUGUAACAAAAGCCAAGAUAAACUUAUAUUGACCUUUACUGGCCAGGGUGGGCCGGACAUAUAAUUUAUUUGACCUCCAGUGCAUCUCUCCCCUCCUACCUUCUUUUUCUCCCCGUGUUGGGAAGCAGAGGGAGAUCAAGGGAUGGAUGGGGUGAUGGUUGGUGUGGUGACAGGAGGAGCACAAGGAAAAGAAGAAAAUUCCUGAGUGCUUAAACCCCCUUCACAUUUAUCCUGGAAUCAGAGAAUCCCACUCACUUUCUGCCCACACAAACCCAGCCCCAUCUGACACUCGUGGAAUGCUAACGGCUUUUUUUUUCCUCCUUCUUCACCAAUUUAGGUAAUUGCCGUGGCGGUCACGGUGCUCGGAGCAGAGACCGUGACCCUGGGCGGUACGAAGUGACAGGCUCCGAGUAUCUGAGGCGGCACCCUGUAUUGUGCUGCCGAAACCAGACCUGCCGACAAAUUCAUCACUGACUCCUCCACAGCAGCCCGUAUUUGGCCGGAUUAAUGACUGCUGACUGGUACAUUGUGUCAAAUGGUGGAUACCCAACAUUUCUAUAGAGUCUACAUCAUUCCUUAUGAUCAGUGUUAAAAGGGUUGGUUGUUUAUUUAUAAAUGUCCAUUACAACACUUUCAAAUACUGUACACUCUUGCAAACCAUGCAUCACAGAUUUCUCUGAGUCUCACAUUUCAAAUGAAAAACUUUCAUUUUUACUCUGGUUAAUAGUCACACGCUAGUUUCACAUGAUUUAUAUGCAAAAUAUUGGUUCCACUGAUUGGCACAGGCUUAAGAAAUCAACAAUAAUGAAUAAUUAAAGUUACAAUUAAUCAUGAUUUAUUUCCAAAGAUUGAGGUUUUUUUUAAAUUAACAAAUUAAAAUUCUAAAAAAAAAAAACUUGACAUGUAUCACCAGCAUUGAGACAAAAUUUUCAACAUAAAAGUUUUGCCAAAUCUAGGAAAAACACUGGUGAACGUUUAAAUGCAUGAAAGACAGGCCCUGAUAAUAUUUUCAGUCAACAUAUUUUCUUAAAAUGUCCUGUGUAGAUGUUUGCUUUGGUUUCUAAGAUGCAGCCAACUUUAAAAACUUCUGUCAAUUUACAUUUGACAGAGUUUGUUCCAGUUGUUAUUAUUUUUAUUUCUUUGCUUAUAGGCUGUCAUUGUACAGCACAAAAGUGCUACAUCUAUGCAGCUCAACCAACCUGUUUGUUUUUGCCUCCAGGUGUGAACCACCACAGUAUCUUCUGCAUCUUUGCUGGCUCAUCAGGAUCUAAACAAACAGGCCUGUUAUUUGUUCGUAGCUAAUGUUUUUCACACAAAGGGCUCAGCUCAUAUUUGGAUCCUCCAUAAACACCUUAUGGACACUGUCAGGUUAGAAUUUGUUUAAAACAUCAGGCUGGUGAAAAGGGGCUUUUCUAUUAAAUAGCAUGAUUCUUUAUGUUUUAAUUUACAAAUCUUGACAGCACUACAUCAUUCACACUGUUUUCUAAGCAGUUAUUAAAUUUCUGGGACACAAUGGAAGCCUUUGAACAGAGAAAAGAAUGAAGAAGUCAAUAAAGUCAAGGUAAGGUUUAUAAAAGCAAAUAGGCAAACAAUGGUGAACUUCUCUUCAACCACCACCAAACAAGCAAACAGCGUUUUUCUGUUAUUUUGGUAGAGUUGUUUCCUGCACAACACUUCAUUUGUGGGCAGAAUCUUGACUUCAAGGAAACAAACAACAUAAGACUGAGGAACAAGGACACAGCACAGUUUAUAGCAAGGGGCAGUCCUGUGAUGGACUGGUGACCUGUGCAGGGUGUACUCUGCCUCUCUCGCCCAUUGGAGAUAUACACUACCCCCCCCCCCCCCUUGUGACUCUGCAAUGCCAUUGUGAGAAGUGCUGGAUUGAAAAGCAUUUCCUAUGAAGAGUUCAACUGCUGCACAGUUCCACCAAAGCAGCGUUUGAAGCAGGACAGAUGAUAGUCCUCAAGAGGGCCAUCAGAUGCCAUUGUAACUGAGGGAUGUCCUGAAAUUUAGGAGCAAUGACAGAAGUACAAAGCUCCAAGCAGAUUGUGUGGAAGAAGUCGAAACGUUUUCCCGAGGUUGACCUCUGAUCGGUCUUUCCUGAGGAUUGCGUUCUCUAAAGAAAUUAAGCCAAAUAACUAUGCAUCUGCAAACUACGUUCAGAUUAUUGUCUCUUUGUUUAACAUGUAAAAGUGCAGCCUCAGUAGGGUCAAAGGUCAUGGUCUUGCAGCCUGCUUGUGUGUCUGUGCAUCUGAUACUCUUGUCUGCCUCUUUGAUCUUUAGUCUGAGCAUGGACCUGUCCGGUGUUACAAAUGAAGGUGGUGAGAGGGUCAGAAUAUCUGAUGCACAGAUCGACGGAGAUACUCCCUGAGCGCUUCUGCACCCCUGCAGCUGCUCCAUUUUAUCAUCUCAUCUUGAAUGUGAACAAAACAAAGGAGAGGAUUAUAGAUUUUAAGAGAAACGGGGUUAGAUCGAACCCCAUUUCCAUCAUGGGAGAGAAGAAGUGGAGCUGGUUGAGGAGCAUAAAUACCCAGGUGUUCAUCUGUACAAAUGAUGAAGACCAAGGACCAGACUGGAGUCUGAACAGUGAAGCCGUUUACAGGAAAGGACAGAGGAAGAUUCUUGAGGAAGCUUAGAUCUGUUCUGUUGUGGAGAGUAAAAUCUCAAUUCAGUUGUUUCACUGUGAUCUGUGUGGCAGUUCAUAUUAUAAUUUCAACAUUGACUGCCUUCAGACUUCAGUGUGAACUGCCUGUGACCCCGAAGUGACCUGCAUUUCCAGAAUAAGACGUGAUGUCACACAGGGCAUGCUGUAUUUUUGGAUGUAAAAAUGGAUGCCACAUAUGCUAUGUAUCAAAUACUGAAACGUUAUGCUGACAAAAUCAUAUCUGACAUCGGAGUUUUCCUCUUCCUUCAGCAUGAAAUGUGAAGCUGUCAUGUUUUAAUUUUGUAAAUGGAGGAUAAAAUGCAGACUGAGAUUGAUCUUAAAAAAGAAAAAGAUGUUUAUCUGAUUAAGGACCACAUAUGAAAGUAACCUGGUCUUAUUUGAAAAUUCAGUAAAGAUUUAUGUCGGUCAGACUGUCAUUAAAGUCAGAUAUGGGUCAAUUAUUGUACAAAAUAUAUGGAUUUGUGACCUUUCAGUGGCCAUUGUUUCCCAAAAAUGUUGCAAAAAUCUUCCCUCUUCAUGUUUCCAUGAACCCAGUAUUGUGCUACUUUUCAUUUCGUCUCAUGAGCUUUACACCUCUGCAGCAAAGUAACAAAAUUACAUUUGGUUUGAUAUAAUGUACAGCUGAAUAAAAAGACACAGACAGGUU